rnacentral:lncRNA from 1 species
CCCCGAGGCCCGCCCUCAGCGUGUCUUAUUCCAUUUUGAAGUCCCUGCCAUGCGGCAACACCUCGGUCACCUCACCACGGGCAUCAAGGGAAGUAGAAGGGUCCCGUUCCGCCAGCAGGGAGCGGCAGAGUUGAGCUGCUGCCCUUGAAAAUGAACAUCUCUUCCAUCACCAACUCCCGGGUCUCUGGCUGCUCCCACCACUGGCCUCCUCUACAAAGAAAGAACUGCAAGGAACCUAGCCUGAGUCCUAAAGCAAAGUUUGGACUCCCCUAAGCCCCACCCCUCCAGCUUCUCUUUCCUCCCAGGCGACAAUAGGACACCUGAGCGCACUUCUAAAGCCUAAUGCUGUCUCCCAGCAUUCUAUAUGUUUGCACUCAGUCAAGCCAUACCUUUCUCAUCCUCCAACGUCCCAGUGGGGGUCAGCCUGACUAGGAAGUCACUUCCUCCCUCGUGCCAGAGCUGGCCUCUCUUGACUGCCUAUUGUCUAAUUCUUCCUGGACACAGCUUCUCUCUGAUGACUACAAAGUUGUAAAUGUCUGAGGUGUGGUUGCAUAGCACCUGUAUUUCCCAAGAUGGCUACACAAAUAAAAGAACCAUGGUGGGAUCCAUGGUCUAGCAG